UACGUAGGGUGCGAGCGUUGUCCGGAUUUAUUGGGCGUAAAGGGCUCGUAGGCGGCGUGUCGCGUCGGGAGUGAAAGCCCGUUGCUUAACGGCGGGUUGGCUUUCGGUACGGGCAUGCUGGAGUGCGGCAGGGGAGACUGGAAUUCCUGGUGUAGCGGUGGAAUGCGCAGAUAACAGGAGGAACACCGGUGGCGAAGGCGGGUCUCUGGGCCGUUACUGACGCUGAGGAGCGAAAGCGUGGGGAGCGAACAGG
rnacentral:rRNA from 1 species